CUCGAUCAAGGUGACGCACAUCAGCCCUAAUGUAUUGGUUGUGCAAACAAUGGGCAAAGCAGAAGACAGUGGACAACGCUCAUUUCACACGGAUCCCGGGGCGCUCUAGACCAGAAAAUACAAUAAUCUCAAGGAUGUAUCAAAUGUGAUCUUUCCACCUUCACACUCGAACGACCCAUCAAUGAUUCGUCAAAACACACGAGGCGUGGAUCUUGAGAGAACGUAGUCUAAACGAUGGAACACAGCAUUCCAUACCACCCCUGUGUGCAAACAAUCCAAAAAUGUCUUUCACAAUAUCCAUAAAUGUUAGAAUAAUGUUA